UCAGUAAGUACGUCAGGUCGUUCAUGGUGGGGCGAGCCUCUAGCAGACGAUGUUGAAUUAAACGAGGUUUCGUAAUGAUUGUUUUAGACAUUAACUAAAAAUGCCAAAUCUGAGGACUGAGGUUUUAAAAUCUUUCAAAACACUUCACCAGGCCAGAAAACGUGUUUUCCAAGGUGAUGAGGUUGCCCUUAAUGCUGCCCGCGCAAAAAUCAAUGAGGAGUACCGAAAAAACAAACACGUGACAGAUGUGUCAGCUGUGCAAGAGUUAGUCAAACUUGCACAUGACGUGGCCAAGGAGCUGAGAGCAUCAGUCGUUCAAGCCCGCAAAAUCAAGGACGACAUGUUUGGUACAAAACACAGCAAUUUUUGUGAAUUUAUAUUAUGAAGGGUAGUCACAAAGUUUUAAUUACCAUCUCAGAUGCUAGUCCUUCUUUGCAUAUUAGAACUAAGAAUUACUGAAGAAACUUACAAGUUGGACAACAUACCUGGGAUGCCUUUUCAGAGAUGUAAAUCUUAGUACUGCAGACAGAGUUGUUAAUGAUAUUAGUGACUGCAAUGUACCUGAGUUGUUUUAAAAUGUAAUUGUGUUUUGAAAUAUUAACACUGUAUAUGAGUUGUUUUUGUGGUACCAGAACAGCAGUAAUUACAGGUUUGUGACAGUUUUGUGGUGAGUAAUUAAUGUUGAAGCUGGUAUCACUUGUAUUGGACAGAUUGACUCUGACUGAUGUAUCAUUUACAUAUAUGUAAAUAAAGUGCUUUCAUGUUACCAUAGAAAGGUUCACUUUGAGAAUUAA